rnacentral:rRNA from 1 species
UACGAAGGGGGCUAGCGUUGUUCGGAAUUACUGGGCGUAAAGCGCACGUAGGCGGGUCGUUAAGUCAGGGGUGAAAUCCCGGAGCUCAACUCCGGAACUGCCUUUGAUACUGGCGAUCUUGAGAUCGGAAGAGGUGAGUGGAAUUCCCAGUGUAGAGGUGAAAUGCUUAGAUAUGACAUAGAACACCAAUUGCGAAGGCAGCUCGCUACACUAUUAUUGACGCUGAGGCACGAAAGCGUGGGGAUCAAACAGG